AUUGAACGCUGGCGGCAGGCCUAACACAUGCAAGUCGGACGGUAGCACAGAGGAGCUUGCUCUUCGGGUGACGAGUGGCGGACGGGUGAGUAAUGUCUGGGGAUCUGCCCGAUAGAGGGGGAUAACCACUGGAAACGGUGGCUAAUACCGCAUAACGUCGCAAGACCAAAGAGGGGGACCUUCGGGCCUCUCACUAUCGGAUGAACCCAGAUGGGAUUAGCUAGUAGGCGGGGUAACGGCCCACCUAGGCGACGAUCCCUAGCUGGUCUGAGAGGAUGACCAGCCACACGGGAACUGAGACACGGUCCAGACUCCUACGGGAGGCAGCAGUGGGGAAUAUUGCACAAUGGGCGCAAGCCUGAUGCAGCCAUGCCGCGUGUAUGAAGAAGGCCUUCGGGUUGUAAAGUACUUUCAGCGGGGAGGAAGGCGAUGUGGUUAAUAACCGCGUCGAUUGACGUUACCCGCAGAAGAAGCACCGGCUAACUCCGUGCCAGCAGCCGCAGUAA
rnacentral:rRNA from 1 species